AUACGGAGGGUGCAAGCGUUACUCGGAAUUACUGGGCGUAAAGGACGUGUAGGCGGUUUAGAAAGUCAGAUGUGAAAGCCUAUGGCUUAACCAUAGAACUGCAUUUGAAACUUCUAAACUAGAGUGGGGGAGAGGUCAGUGGAAUUAGUGGUGUAGGGGUAAAAUCCGUAGAGAUCACUAGGAAUACUCAUUGCGAAGGCGACUGACUGGAACUUAACUGACGCUGAGGCGUGAAAGCGUGGGGAGCAAACAGGAUUAGAAACCCGAGUAGUCC
rnacentral:rRNA from 1 species